UCGCCCCCGUGGCCGUGCGUCCCCGUCUGCAGGCGCAGUGAGAUGCUGGGUGACCGUGUUCCAGGCGGCAGUGUAAUAACGGCUAACGUCGCGUUGUAACACGUGUUAAUUCACACUCUGCCAGACGGCCCCCAGUUAGAUCUUCAUCACACAUUUAUUAAGGGUUGGUUCCUGCACUUCGGAACUUGAAAUGUUAUACCUUUAUUUGGGACUAGGGCAGAGACUGUUUGCAUAAUAAACGGAGUCUUGCACUGUCGCCAAGCUGGAGUGCAGUGGGACGAUCUCGGCUCACUGCAACCUCCGCCUCCCAGGAAAAAAACUGAAUAGCUGCAAACCUCUUGGUGAAAAACAUGAUAUAGUACCACCAAACCUCACGGGAAGAAAACUGAAUAGCUGCAGAUCUCUAUACCAAACUACAAAUGUCUAGAAAAUACAGGUAACAAAGAUGCAUGUGAAACCAUACGUUUGGCUACAAUCCACAAAAUGCAAGUAACAGGAAACUCUACCACACAAUAUUGAUUUAAAAGGAGAAUCUAUAGAAUAAAUGAGAGCAAAAACCAUUUUUAAAAGUAAAACUAAAUUUUGGAUGAUGAAAAUAUAAAAUAGAACAAAGAAGUGAUGACAGCAAAAGUCAGAAUGUGGUUGAUUUUCAUUUUAAAAAGGGAAGAAUUUAUUGUUGAGCUGGGGCAAUUGAUGGGCUUCUAGGUCAGCUGACAAACUUUUCUCUCUCGCUGAUGGUUAAAGGGUGUUUACCUUUGAUUCAAGUUCACCAUUUUAAGAUCUUUUUUCUGUUACGUUACCUGUGUUUUAUUUUACGACACAAAAGCUAACGCAGAAUAAAAGAAGUUCUGGGGCGUGGUUCCUGUUCUGCACAAACUCCUCCCCAUCCUCCUCUCUGGACACUGAGCACCCAGAGCAGCCGGCAGCCGCAGGACUCCUGGCAGGGCCACCUCACUUCUGAGCGUGCAUCCAGCUGCACGUCGCUGGAGACAAAGUCCACGUCGGUUCCUUGAGGCCUGGACGAUUGUGCAUGUGUGAGAACCUCACUAGUGCAUUUAGCUUUUGUUAAAUGACAUUUACCCAGUAGCGAAAUUGCUAGUGGGGUAUGUUUCUCUUUAUUGGAUGUUGUAAAUAUUUGACAUAUUUGUGGCUACCCAAAAUAUUUGGGGCACCCUUUCUUUCUUUUUCUUUUUUUUUUGGGGGGGGGCGGAGUUUCGCUCGUUACCCAGGCUGGAGUGCAAUGGUGCGAUCUCGGCUCACCACAACCUCCAUCUCCUGGGUUCAGGCAGUUCUCCUGCCUCAGCCUCCUGAGUAGCUGGGAUUACAGGCACGCGCCACCGUGCCCUGCUAAGUUUUGUAGUUUUAGUAGAGACGGGGUUUCACCAUGUUAACCAGGAUAGUCUCGAUCUCUUGACCUCGUGAUCCAUCCGCCUCGGCCUCCCAAAGUGCUGGGAUUACAGGCGUGAGCCACUGUGCCCGGCCGGGGCACCCUUUCUAUAGCUGUGACUUUUCCCCACUAUAACUCCUGCCUCUUUAAAAUAGGUGCUAGAAAAACUCAUUUUUUAACUUCCGCUGAAGAUGGUGAGCAGGCAUGUAACAUAGAUUUUGCUAAUAAGACGUAGUCAUGAAAAACGUCAGUUUAGAAGAGAGCACUGCGAGGAAGGGGAUGCUGUGCAGAAUUCUGUAAGUGAGUGUAGCAGUGUGGGCAUGUUCAGAACCUUUAGAAGCAAAAUUGACCAAGAUCGAUGCUGUAGUGCCCUGUGUUUCAUGCUCAUAUUGAAAAUGAUAAUUAUCCACUGUCGUGGGAUUGCUUGUAUGAUCAGUCUGGGAGUGAAAUUUGGGCAUUUUUCCCAAAUAAUUCUAGUGUUUCUCUGACCUUUCAGGAGACUCUAAAUCAACUGAUAUUAUUUUUUUUUUUUUUUUUUUUUUUUUUUGAGUUUUGCUGUUGUUACCCAGACUGGAGUGCAAUGGCACGAUCUCAGCUCACCACAACCUCCACCUUCUGGGUUCAAGCAGUUCUCCUGCCUCAGCCUCCCGAGUAGCUGGGACUACAGGCACAUGCCACCAUGCCCAGCUAAUUUUUGUAUUUUUAAUAGAGACGGGGUUUCACCUAGUUGACCAGGAUGGUCUCGAUCUCUUGACCUUGUGAUCCACCCGCCUCUGCCUCCCAGAGUGCUGGGAUUAUAGGCGUGAGCCACCGCGCCUGGCCCAACUGAUAUUCUUUAAUAAAUUCUUAUACUAUUUCAUCCAUAGAGUGGAUUCUGAUGUUUGCAACUAAGAAUUCACUUAGUUAUUCUCAGUCCUUCUCGUCUCAUGGUAUGUAAGUAAGUGAUAAUUGUAUAACAAACUGGGAUUGAUGUAUAAAGCUGCCUGUGGCUGGAAGCAGCCAGAACUAUGGCUAUUCACUUCCCUUGGUCUUGCGUGGCCACUCUAAGGAGACCAGUAUCUCAGCAACAACCCGUCACACAUUCAUAGCCCAACUAUGUGCCACGAUGUGCGAGCUGGAAAUCUGUGCACUAGGUAUUGCUAAAUUACUAUCAACUUAUACUUCUUCUAGUAGUGUGUGAGAGUUCUUGCUGGUCAACAUUCUCUUCGACUUUUUUUUUUUUGAGACAGGAGUCUGGCUCUGUCACUCAGGCUGGAGUGCAGUAGCCUCUUCAACUUUUGAUAUCAGUGGACUUUAAAACUACUCCAGUCUUAUUGGUAUAAUUUUAUAUACGAUUUUUAAGAUUUGCAUUUUCUAUUACUAGUGAGAAUCUUCCAAUUUGUAUUUCCUCAUUUGUUAAUUACUGGUUUCAUUUCGUUGUACACUUUCCUCUUAGACUGUUGGUCUUUUUAUUAUUGACUUAUAAAAAGCUCUUUAUAUGAAGGCUGCAGGAGUAUCUGUAGUAAUUAUACAUUCAUAAUUUUGUAUUCUAUUUUUCAAGAGGGUCCCCCAGAUUACAUAGGAUUCAGAUUCUAUAAAACCUGGAUCCAUCUCUGACAUCCCCGUUUGAGGCCCAUCUCUCUGUUUUGCUUAUGAGGCACAAAAGAUUUUAUGAUUAAUUUAGUUAAAUUUAUUUUUAUUUUUAUAUGGAUUGUACUAUUUGGAUAUUGUUUGAGAAAAAUUUUUCUAACCCUGGAAGAUUAAAAUAUACUUUCUAAUAAUUUAAAAUAGUGUUUUUAUAUACGAAUACUUUACAUUUAGGAUAGAUUUUCGGAGGGUGCGACAUGAGACAGUGGUUCACUUUUAUUUGCAUUUUCCUGCAUGAACACUCAAUUUUCUCACAUUAUUGAAUAAUUCAUUUUUCUGCACCAA